rnacentral:misc_RNA from 1 species
GAUGAAGAACGCAGCGAAAUGCGAUAAGUAAUGUGAAUUGCAGAACUCAGUGAAUCAUCGAAUCUUUGAACGCACAUUGCGCCCCCUGGUAUUCCGGGGGGCAUGCCUGUCCGAGCGUCAUUACAACCCUCAAGCUCUGCUUGGUAUUGGGCCCCGCCAGUUCUGGCGGGCCCUAAAGUCAGUGGCGGUGCCUUCCGGCUCCGAGCGUAGUAAUUCUUCUCGCUCUGGAGACCCGGUUGUGUGCUUGCCAACAACCCCCAAUUUUUUAAGGUUGACCUCGGAUCAGGUAGGGAUACCCGCUGAACUUAAGCAUAUCAAUAAGCGGAGGA